ensembl:lncRNA
CUAACUAGACUAUAUAAACUCUCUGGGGGGGGGUUCCACAUCUUUUUUUUUUAUCCUUUACCAUACCUGUAAUUUAGGGCUCAUUGUAGGCACUUAAUAAACUCUCGCUGACAGUCAUUAAUUUGGAGUACUUUUCAGAGUGAGUCCUGAUUAAAGUCACCCUGGAAGAAGUCUUGCCCGGGUCAAAAUGACCCUUGUGGAACCAACUGGAAAGCAGAAUCUGUGGUUGGCCAUGCAUUAUCCUAUACUGAUUUCAUAGGCACAUCCUCAUGCCCAUGGGCGCCCAGCCUCGUAAGGCUGGGCUCCGGGACUCUGCACCAGGAGUCUGUUCUUUGGUAUUAUUUUAAACUUAGGAUAGAGCUUACUCGUUUACAAGAGGGUUGCCCUUCACAGGUUUAAUGAGUGUGAAUAUCAUCCAUCAUCUUGAAUGGAAUUUUAUCCAGGAAGCCUUCUUUGGUUUCCUCACCUAGAAGUAAUCUUUCCUUCCUCUAAAUUUCAUUACACGUGAUUUCUACCCUCACGUUAUCCAUCACUUUCUUUUUUUAAUUAUUUUAUUUUAUUUUAUUUUUGAGGAAGAUUAGCCCUGAGCUAACAUCUGCUGCCAAUCCUCCUCUGUUUGCUGAGGAAGACUGGCCCUGAGCUAACAUCCGUGCCCAUCUUCCUCUACUUUACAUGUGGGAUGCCUGCCACAGCAUGGCUUGCCAAGCAGUGCCGUGUCUGCACCCGCGACCUGAACUAGCAAACCCUGGGCUGCCAAAUCAGAACGUGCACACUUCACCACUGCGCCACUGGGUCGGCCCCUAUCCAUCACUUUCUAAAUUUGUAUUACUCACACAUCUUAUCUCCCUUCCUAGACUAUGUGUUUCCUGAAUCAGGAUCCAUUCUUCAGUCACUUUGCUUCUCCUAGUGUGAGAGAACAGCUGCCACUGAUCAAGCAGUUAUUUGUAUGCCAAGUUAUUUAUUUCCACUUCACAAGUGGAAAAACUGAGGGCCAAAAAGAUUAAUAUCUAGUAUAGUAGAUUAAUCUCUAGUAUCCAGUAUGGUAGGUAUCUAGUAGGUCAUGCGGCUACUAAGUGAUGAAGCCUGGAUUCAAACUCAAGUAGUCUGACCUCAGAGUCUAUGCUCUUUAUUACUGGGCCCCAUAAUGCUUCCUGCACAUUGUGGGCAGUAAAGACGCAGUAAAUACUUAUUAAAUGAAUUCAUUCAUCAGUUAGCUAAUUAGUAAGACAACAAAAUGUUGGUCAGCUGUUAGGAGACCCAGUUUCAGAUACCUCCUCUGACCUAUAGCAUUAGAAAAGCCAAGGCUGUAAAGGAUUUAGGAGUAAAAUCAGGGGAUAUUCAGCGGUAAGAUCUGCCUCCAGACCACUGUCAAACCAAGUUCUACCAAUACUAACAUUAGUAACAUUAGAGUUAACCUAGGACACUGCUUCACAAUCCUAUGCAAACCCAGUGAGACUGAUAGAACUUCUUAAAGAGGAGAGGUUACACAUUUCGAAUAACUAAAUUACAUAUCUCUCUGAACGUUGGUGUUGUGUGCAUUAGGGGAAAAAGGCAGAUAUACACCUUCUAGGGUUACUAUAAGGUUUAAUGAGAUUAUGUGAAGUACCCAGCACAGUACUUGGUACAUAGUAGAAACUCUAUGCAUAUAAGCACUACCCUCCACUCCACCUGCAUUUCCCACUUCGCAGCUAAGCUGAAAGAAGGCGCAAAGCCAAAGGAGAGAUGAAUGGAUGACAGCUGGCAAUGAGAGAUGUUAGUCAAAUUCCACAGGAUUAAGUAGUUGUGAAUCAGAGGUGUCAAGGUCCACUCCCAAGAUUCCAAAUAGCAGCUCUUAGUCUUGCAAGAAAAUUUAGCCAGGAGAAGGAUAAGUGAGAGGCCUAUCAGAAGACAGAGGAAGUCGUUAUUCCUAGCAGAAGGGGAAAUUAGUUCUUGGGAUUCCCUCACUGUAAUGACUGACUGUUUUGUCGGCCAGGAUUGGAUUAACCUAAGGGUAUUCAGAGAUCUAUGUAUCUCACUGGGUCAUCUGUAUUUUACUGAGGAAUAGGAAGAUUAACUGCAGGCACCAGACUGGUCGUCCCACUUAACGUAACCCUGGAAAGUUCCUCUCGCAUUCCAGAAACUACUCAGCCUCUGUGAAGUUUGCCUAUCUGUCUGGCAAAAGACAGUUCAGGUCGUGUUUUUCACAAGCAAUAGAAAAAGCCAGUUUCAACAAAGCUAGGAGUUUGUCCUAAGAAUCUGGAGUUACUUAAGAGAUAUUUCAACAACCUGUGUCUUCAGUAAGGCUCCCCGGAAACAGACGCCUAAACAGAGAGAUGCAUGCCGGAAAGUGAGGGAAGUUUUCCUGUAGGAUACACUCACAAAUAUGCCUACCUUGAUUUAAUCCUACAGGGGUCUAAACGUCUUAUUCGUAAAAUUUGUCAAGCCCUUGGAAGAAGAGAGUUGGUGUCUGCUUUUCCAUCAACUUGUAAAUUCCUGGAGAGGAGGACCUCAAGACAUUCUCCCUUGUUUUCUUCACAGCCAGGGAUGAUAUUGAAGAUAGUUAACACCCAGUGCAGCACAGGCACCAACCAACUCAAAUGGACGCUGGUCUUAGGCAAUUUGUAUGGCUAUACUAGUGGAUACAGCUGAAUAUUUGUUCUGCACACGGAAGGCAUCCAAUAAAAGAUCGUUGGAUUGAAUUUCAUUGGUUUGGUCAUCAUGGCCUUGCCACCUUUGUUCCAGAUAAAUGGAUCUGUAUGAGAGAAGCAGCUCUGGCACAUGCACACUUGCGGAUGCCGUUCAUCUGCUUUUCUCCUGGGACUACCAGGAAAUAAAUUAGCUAUCAGAUCAGAGCAAACCAAAAUUUAAAAGAUCAUAAAUGAAAAAUGAAUGUGUUGUUAUUUGACUUUUUUGUAUCGUUAUUCAUAGAUUUUCUUAAAGUAAUAAUCAGAGAACAUCAUCAACUAAAAUAUGUUUAUAACCCAAGUCAGUGACGAACUUGGUAAACACGGCAGAAUUACGCCCUCUCUUAAUUAGCCUUUGGGGAGACACCAAGUUUUGAACCACUGCUUGUAGCUCUGGGAAUCUUCUAAGAAGCAGGAGUAGAUUAACCUCUAGAAGAGAAAUAUGCCAAAAGCUGAUUUUCACAUAUGACUUGGUGAGUCUUAAACAGAAACAGGCUAACAUGCCAAAUAUGACCAGCUGAGAAGUAUCAACAUCAAAGGCAGAAAUCAUAAACUAUUUGACACAAACAUAUUAAAAAGUUUUACAUCAAGAAAUUAUAAAAAACAAAAUUUAAGACAGGUGACAAAUUUUAAAAUAUUGCUGCAUAUGUGACAGAGCUGAUAUCAUUAAUAUAUGAGAAAUUCUUACAGAUCAGUAAGAAAAAAAUGCCUCAGUAGAAAAAUGACCAAAGGAUAAGCAAGUCACAAAACAAAAAAUAAAAAAGGCUGAUAAACAUUUAGUGUCUAGAAUAGUGCCUGUC